GGGGCAUUAGCUCAUCUUGGUAGAGCAUUUGGUUCGCAAUCAAAAGGUGACGAGUUCGAGUCUCGUAUGCUCCACAA
rnacentral:tRNA from 1 species